GUCGAGCGGCAGCGGAAAGUAGCUUGCUACUUUGCCGGCGAGCGGCGGACGGGUGAGUAAUGUCUGGGAAACUGCCCGAUGGAGGGGGAUAACUACUGGAAACGGUAGCUAAUACCGCAUAACGUCUUCGGACCAAAGUGGGGGACCUUCGGGCCUCACACCAUCGGAUGUGCCCAGAUGGGAUUAGCUAGUAGGUGGGGUAAUGGCUCACCUAGGCGACGAUCCCUAGCUGGUCUGAGAGGAUGACCAGCCACACUGGAACUGAGACACGGUCCAGACUCCUACGGGAGGCAGCAGUGGGGAAUAUUGCACAAUGGGCGCAAGCCUGAUGCAGCCAUGCCGCGUGUGUGAAGAAGGCCUUCGGGUUGUAAAGCACUUUCAGCGAGGAGGAAGGCAGUCGUGUUAAUAGCGCGAUUGAUUGACGUUACUCGCAGAAGAAGCACCGGCUAACUCCGUGCCAGCAGCCGCGGUAAUACGGAGGGUGCAAGCGUUAAUCGGAAUUACUGGGCGUAAAGCGCACGCAGGCGGUUUGUUAAGUCAGAUGUGAAAUCCCCGCGCUUAACGUGGGAACUGCAUUUGAAACUGGCAAGCUAGAGUCUUGUAGAGGGGGGUAGAAUUCCAGGUGUAGCGGUGAAAUGCGUAGAGAUCUGGAGGAAUACCGGUGGCGAA
rnacentral:rRNA from 1 species